AUUGAACGCUGGCGGCAGGCUUAACACAUGCAAGUCGAGCGGGGACUUCGGUCCUAGCGGCGAACGGGUGAGGAAUGCUUGGGAAUCUGCCUGGUAGUGGGGGAUAACGUUUCGAAAGGAACGCUAAUACCGCAUACGUCCUACGGGGGAAAGGGGGGGAUCUUCGGACCUCUCGCUAUCAGAUGAGCCCAAGUCGGAUUAGCUAGUUGGUGAGGUAAAGGCUCACCAAGGCGACGAUCCGUAGCUGGUCUGAGAGGAUGAUCAGCCACACUGGAACUGAGAGACGGUCCAGACUCCUACGGGAGGCAGCAGUGGGGAAUAUUGGACAAUGGGCGAAAGCCUGAUCCAGCCAUGCCGCGUGUGUGAAGAAGGCCUUCGGGUUGUAAAGCACUUUAAGCGAGGAGGAAUGGCUCUGGGUUAAUACCCUUGAGCAGUGACGUUACUCGCAGAAUAAGCACCGGCUAACUCUGUGCCAGCCGCCGCCGUAAGAC
rnacentral:rRNA from 1 species